ACUCACUUAGCUCAGUUGGUUAGAGCACUCGGCUUAUACCCAAGUGGUCAGGGGUUCAAGUCCCUUAGUGAGUA
rnacentral:tRNA from 1 species